UGUACUGGAACUACUUGGACAGGCUAUCUCCCUUCUUUCUCUCUCAUUUCUCUCUUCUCUCAGACUGAAGUGUACACUCCACUACUAAGAGGCCCCCUCUUCUUACCUCUAUCAGAUAUAGGAAGCACAUCGUACUCCGACGUGUGUCUUGUCCGCUCGAAUGCAGCGUGGCGCGGUUUUACUCGAGGGUCCUCCGCAGUUCAAAAUCCUCACCUCGUCGCACAGGACGUUCCACCCGAAACUUUUCUCGCCCACUCACAUUCACCCUGAAACUUUUCGCCAAUUAAAGCUCACUCCACCACUGCUCCCUUCAAUCUUUAAUUACUUUUGCUAAUCGCCAAGAGGUCUUUGCAUAGUAAGGCGACUACCAUUCGGGUGACUACCGUUCUGGUGAUUUACAUCCAGUGAAUUCUGGUGAUUUACGUCAGGUGAAUGCUGAUGAUUUCCAACCGGUGAAUUCUGGUGAUUUCCAUCCGGGUGACUUGCAUUUAGGUGAUUUUCAUCCAGGUGACGACCGUUCAGGUGAUUACGGAAAGUUGCGACAAGUUAAGCACCAACGACGUGACUACCAUCAAAGUUGGAUCAAAGUUGUUACCAUUGUUAUCGUCAAAGUACCAUCAAAGUUGAUACCAUCAAAGUUGGUACCAUCAAAGUUGCUAUCGUCAAAAUCGGUACCAUCAAAGUUGCUAUCGUCAAAGUUGAUACCAUUAAAGGUGCUAUCAUCAAAGUUGAUACCAUCAAAGUUGCUAUCAUCAAAGUUGGUACCAUCAAUGUAAUCUUCUCUCAAGUAAAUUUCUAUCAAGGAAAUUUCCAUCAAAGGGAUUUUUAUCAAAAAAUUUGCUAUCAAGGGAACUUUCAUCAAAAAAGGACUCCGAUUAAAGAGGGUAAUUUUUUAACAAGGAAAUUUCUAUUAAAAUUUCUAUCAAGAGAGGACUCCGAUUAAAGGGGAUAAUUUUCUAUCAAGAAAAUUUUUAUCGAAUUUCUAUCAAGGAAGAGAGUUUACCUUGAUAUUAAUAUCAAGGGACCUGCUAUCAAGAGAGGACUUCCGUCAAAGAGGGAAAUUUCUAGCAAGGAAACUCCAGUCUAAAGAGGACUCCCAUCAAAUCAUCACUUCAGCAGUGGGAUAACUUUCAGGAGGACACUUCCGGCAACGAGAGGAGAACUUCUCAUGUCACUGAGGGGAUUUCUCAUAUUAAGAAGUCAUCUCACGUCCUUGAUUCGACUUCCAGUGUUCGGGCAAAUUCUCCCAUCAAGGGACCAACUCCUCCUCUAAGAGAAUCUCUUUUACAAAAUUGUCUCAUAGGAGAAAUAUUUUUUCUAAAACAAUAAUUUUUUUUUCUAAAUUUCUAUAGAUUCCGUAGAUUUUUGUAGAAAAAGAUACCAUUUUUUCUUGUGUAGGAAAGGAUCAAAAGUUGUCUUUUGAAAGUGAUCAACUUCUUUUCGAAAGGAAUCAACUUUUCUGCUAAAGGGAUCAAUUUCUUUUCGAAAGAUAUCGACUUCUUUUCGAAAGCUAUUAAUUUAUCUACAAAAGGACUCAAGUUUUUCUGCGAAAGGUCUCAAGUUCCUCUUUCCCUUCGAAAGGAACCAACUUUUUUCCUAAAGGCUCAAAUUUAUUUCUAGAAAAGGAAAUAUUUUUUCUCUAUCAAGAAAUCAAUUGCUUGCAAUAAUAGAAGUAGCGAAUUUUUCAGAAAAAAAUUGAAAUAAGAAAAAUUAAAUUAAAAAAUCUUUUGACAAAUUCAUCGAAGGAUUUCGUGGGCAGGGAGGAAAACUUUUUACCAAGGAGGAGAAUUCAAGAAAAUUUGUUUUUACUUUAUCGAUUAGAAAUCAAGUUCUAGUAGAAAUAAAACAAAUACAGAUGAUUUUGCAGUACCAUAAUUUUUCAGUAGCAGAAUUCGUAAUUCAAAAAAACUAAUCAAAACGUUACCAUAAUUUAAAAAAAGUAAUUCAAACCGUGCUCGUAAUUAAAGAAUACCUGAUUCAGAAACGUGAUCGUAGUUCCAAAAAAGUAAUUCAAAAAUCUAAUUUAAAAAACGUGCUCGUAUUAAAAAAAAACAAAUUCAAAACGAAUGGAAAACAAUUCAUUAAAUUAACCCCAAGUGCUCGUUUUCCUAAAAAAAAAAAAUAAUUCUUAAUUAUUCAAAUUUGAAUUACACUCCCAACUUGUAAUCUGAUAAGAACAUUGAGAUACGAGAACUUAAGCUGGAAAUUGAGAUAUAAAGAGACACUCGAGUCAAGAAACCACCUGUUGUGCGUGCAUCAGUUCAAAAUACACUGGAUCAUGAGUCGCCUGAUUGAUAUCAAUACCCAAACAUCUUAACAGGCCACAUCCUCUUUUCUCACUCUCUUUCUUUUUUUUUCUUUUCGUGUGGGCAAAAAUGAAGCAACACUGGAGAGAAAUUAAUCUGAGAAUUUGAAAAAAAUAAUUUUUUCUCACAUAGAUUCUCGAAAAAGUGCAAAUUAUCUUCUUUUACUUGUAAUAAUUAACGGACGAGUGUGAUUUUCAAUGUUUGGAAAAAUUUACCUAAAGUGUGAACCAUGCCGAGAAUUAGUGUCGUCAUUUGAUUUGAAUUUAGAACGAAAGUAGAAGUGCGAGAAGAAAAAUUUUCUGGUUUUCUUUUCUAGUAUUUAGUGGAUUUGUUAUUUUUGGAUGUCAUUCUUUUUUAGUGUGACUAGAUUGUAAAUUUUUUUCGAGUGAAUUGAUAUUGAAGAGGAAAUAAAUAUUAUAGUGGACGAUUGGAAUAUGACGGAAGACUGAUUGAAAUCUGGAAAUUAUCAUUUUCGAACUGGGAUCAGGAUGCGGUGGAUCGGUUACGUGGCCACAAUUCUCUGGUGGUUGGGCAUCGCCAGGUCCCUCAGCUCACUUAAUCGAGGUCACAGUUAUAAAAUCAGCCCGAAACCAUGUCGAGUGGCAAACAUGUUGGGCACAGAGGGCACAUGUAUGUUCGUGUGGGAGUGCAUCAAGUCAGAGGGCACACACGUUGGAGUGUGUGUUGACACAUUUAUGUUCGGUAGUUGUUGCGUUCAUAAUGCAACGAGUAAUAGCAUAAGUUCUCACAAUCCAUCCACCUCAUCCAACACAUUGAGGCCGACCUUGGCCGAGGCCCUGUCGAGUGAAUCGACAAGGCUAACGUUGACGUCUCUCUCCGUAACGUCACAUCCAUCAUCAUCAUCAUCAUCAUCUUUAUCAUCCAGCACAACACUGCGACCCCAGAGUCAAUUUCAAGGCUCGCAGAAGCAAGCUGUUAGUACCACUAGUCAGUUAUUAGGUUCAAAGAAUCAAGGCGUAAGCUCGACAAGUCAUUACCAUCCUCCUCAUCAUCAUCAUCAACAACAACAACAACAUCAUCAUCAAACCUUGGGAACAUCCAAACCAAGUGUCAAUUCAACAAGACCUUAUAAACCACUACAAGUGAAUUCAAGUCGACCUCUACAAAAGAGGCCGCACGCAAAACCCUCUUCUGGUCAGGAAGACAGACAUCAUCAGACGUCCAUUAAUCCCGGCCAAGUGGCGGGAUUCUGGGAGAAAAAUUCAAGACCACAAGUAGUUGGUGGUCAUCAUCAUCAGAUGAUGAAGACAAGGCCCGAGUCUGCGGAACAUCGACCAGGCCAUGGUCAACAAUCGUCGAAUGACCAUCAUCAAGUGCUGCAGGAUAAAAUCGACAAUAAACACAGCACUUUAUUGAUAAGACUACCAAACAAGAAUCAGGGUUCGAUCAAGGGCCAAGAGCUCAGGCCACUUAGUCAGAGACCUUCGGAAUCGCGGCCCGACGACAGUAAAAAUGAGGAGAGUGAUCUCGUUGUCCAGGAGACGAUCCACAGGCCGAGCAUCAAUUCCCUAGAUGAUAAAGAUAAUGUGAAUAGUUCGCACCUUAGUUUAAAUUUUAUCCACACUGAACCGCCGCAAUGGGCGACAAAACCGGUAACCUCCAAUCAUAAGCCUUCGAUAGAUUAUUCAAAGCCAUAUUUUACACUAAAAACAUCAACACAUCGACCGCAAUUAAUGAAUGGAGGAAUGGAUGAUAGACCCAUGUUUCAUUUGAAACCUGACAGUCAUAAUAAACCCAGUAAAUCGUCAACGACAUCAAAGCCCACGUAUUAUAGCAGUCAAUCAACCAGCGCAGCCGGAUCUGUACCACAAACACCACACUGGCAAGUGACGACGGAACCAGCGUUCGUCACAAAAAAUCAGAAACCAUCGUCAAUUAAGCCCAUUACAACAUUAUUUGAAACAACACGACCUGGUGGUUCUUAUUUUUGGUCCGAAAGCAGUUGGACGCCACCGAGACCAUCAAUGAAGCCACACUGGACGGAUCAUCCGAAUCUAAUGCAAAAUGGUCCCGAGAGUUUUCCCCAGAAACCAAGUUUUAAACCAACGGAAAUACAAGAAAAUGAUUAUCAUAAGCCCUUUGGUGCAGCACAUUUUAUAACAACAUCCUAUAAUGAAACACCGACGAAACCGCGACCAACGAAAAAAACAACCACGACUACCACCACGACCACAACAACGACGACAACCACAACUCAAAGGCCAUCUUCAACGACGACAUUGUCAACAUCGACCACAUCGGAAAGUCUUCCUGAAAAACCUCAGAGAACCGGAUCUGUUUUGACAAUACCGGCAGCAGCCGAGAGUCGAAAUAUGCCAUGCGGUGUGCCGCCACUUUUUCCCCGACCGGAAACGCGAAUCGUCGGCGGUAAGGACGCUGCUUUUGGAAGAUGGCCCUGGCAAGUCUCAGUUAGGAGGACCUCAUUUUUUGGAUUCUCCAGUACACAUCGCUGUGGAGGCGCUAUUCUCAAUGAAAAUUGGAUUGCCACUGCUGGACAUUGUGUCGAUGAUUUGCUGAUAUCUCAAAUUCGAAUUCGAGUGGGAGAAUAUGAUUUUUCAUCAGUCCAGGAGCGACUUCCUUAUGUUGAACGAAGUAUAAGUAAAAAAGUCGUUCAUCCGAAAUAUAAUUUCUUCACAUUUGAAUAUGAUCUUGCAUUGGUGAGACUCGAGACUCCAUUAACGUUUGUCGCACAUAUUUCUCCAAUUUGUUUACCUGCUGCCGAUGAAUUACUUAUUGGAGAAAAUGCCACUGUCACUGGAUGGGGAAGACUCAGUGAAGGUGGAACUUUGCCCUCAGUGUUACAAGAGGUGUCCGUUCCAAUUGUGAGUAACGACAGAUGUAAAUCAAUGUUCCUUAAAGCGGGAAGACACGAAUUCAUACCGGAAAUUUUUCUCUGUGCCGGAUACGAAUCAGGAGGUCAAGAUUCGUGUCAAGGUGAUUCUGGAGGUCCUCUGCAAGUUCGCGGAAAAGAUGGUCGCUACUUCCUCGCUGGCAUUAUUUCCUGGGGAAUUGGAUGCGCAGAAGCCAAUUUACCUGGUGUUUGUACAAGAAUCUCGAAAUUCGUUCCUUGGAUCAUUGCCAAUGUUGGCUGAUCACUUUCGUGGAGAUCUUCAAAUCAUCAUUUUUCUUUUUGUUCUGAAGUCUUUCACUUCUCAACAUCAUGAACCAAUGACACGACUGAUGAAAAAAUAUAUUGUCGAUUAUUUUUCAUUAUCCAUAAACGAUAUUAGAAUAAUACCGAUAUUUUUUUUUUUUUUGAUUCGCUUUAGUUUUGAGAUCAAUAUCGCAUUGCUCAAUAAUAAUAUUGAUGCGAAAAAUGAUCGAAUAUUUGAAUGAACGUUUGAGAUCAUUAACGAGACGUCUUUUUUUCGCAUGACGCUGAUAAAUCAUUGUAAUAUAGUAGCUUUACUUUUUUUUUAAAAAUAAUUAUAAAAACACUUCAAGUGUUUCGAUCAUUUAUGAAUAAAAUUGUGCACCAAGACUGUGUACUAUUUUCGUGACUGCGCAUUUUUGCAAAUUUUCAUAUUUCUUUUUUUGUCAUAUUAAAUUAUUAACUUUAUUAUUAUAUUAUUAUUAAUAAUAAUAAUAAAAAUAAUAACUAAAUUUGAAUUUAUGAACAUUUUUACUAAUUCAAAUUUAAGGAGAAUAAUAAUGAAAGUAAAUGAAUAAUUAAAAAAAUUAAAACCAAAUAAAUGAAAAUUGUCAGUGGCAAAAGCUACCGUGAGGUUAAUUUAUUAUUUGUUAUUAUUAUUUAUUAUUUUCAAUUUAUUAUUACGAAAAUGAAGAAAAAAAAUCAAUAAAGAAAAAUUGGCGUAAAUCGUUUGGAAAAAAUAUAUCAAAAAUAAUUUUGACCGUUAUAAAAGGCGACAAGAAAAGAAGAAAAUUUGCAAUAAAAGUCACGAAACUAAUUGAUCUGUGCCAAGACGUAUUUAAUUCGAGGCGCAGAAAAUGUAUUUAUAUAUAAAUACGCAUAUACGAUAAAUAAAUAAUAUAUUCGCAUAGCGUUUACUAUUUAUAGGUGAAAUGAAAUAAGAAAGUCCCCUCUUGUGACUUACAUAUUAAAAAAAAAUCUCCUUCAAAUGUACAGAAUUAGAAUUUUAAAUUUCUGAUUACAUCUUUCAUGGGAAAGAAAAGACAAAUUUUUUAUUCUUACAUUCGAAGAAAACUUGCAUUUUUUUACAACAAAUCUCUCUAUA